CUUGUAAUAAUUAUCCAUACAUUAUUUAAAACUUGAAACUCUUUCUAAACUUACACUUAUUGCCAUGAGUAAUUGUUUUUAAAAUUCAAAAUAAACCACAAUAAUGUUCCAUUUCUAGCUUACCUGGCCAAGUGAGCAUUGUCAUCUUUUGGCUUCAGUCGUCUGUCGUUGUUAAAGUUUACAAAAAUAUUCUUCUCUGAAAUUAGUGGCAAAUUUAACCAAACUUGGCCACAUUAAUUUAUAUUAUGUUUAGAAGCUGUUGAAGAAUUUGUGACACAUAUUCUAAUUUACCCUUUUGUGAUAGAUAUUCCUUCAAAGUCCAAUGGUAUUUCAGCCUCAAAC
rnacentral:lncRNA from 1 species